UUAGUGGCGAACGGGUGAGUAACGCGUGAGUAACCUGCCCUAGAGUGGGGGACAACAGUUGGAAACGACUGCUAAUACCGCAUAAGCCCACGGUACCGCAUGGUACUGAGGGAAAAGGAUUUAUUCGCUUUAGGAUGGACUCGCGUCCAAUUAGCUAGUUGGUGAGGUAACGGCCCACCAAGGCGACGAUUGGUAGCCGGACUGAGAGGUUGAACGGCCACAUUGGGACUGAGACACGGCCCAGACUCCUACGGGGGGCAGCAGUGGGGGAUAUUGCACAAUGGGGGAAACCCUGAUGCAGCGACGCCGCGUGGAGGAAGAAGGUUUUCGGAUUGUAAACUCCUGUCGUUAGGGACGAUAAUGACGGUACCUAACAAGAAAGCACCGGCUAACUACGUGCCAGCAGCCGCGGUAAAACGUAGGGUGCAAGCGUUGUCCGGAAUUACUGGGUGUAAAGGGAGCGCAGGCGGGAAGACAAGUUGGAAGUGAAAACCAUGGGCUCAACCCAUGAAUUGCUUUCAAAACUGUUUUUCUUGAGUAGUGCAGAGGUAGAUGGAAUUCCCGGUGUAGCGGUGGAAUGCGUAGAUAUCGGGAGGAACACCAGUGGCGAAGGCGGUCUACUGGGCACCAACUGACGCUGAGGCUCGAAAGCAUGGGUAGCAAACAGGAUUAGAUACCCUGGUAGCCCAUGCCGUAAACGAUGAUUACUAGGUGU
rnacentral:rRNA from 1 species